CACGUAGGGUGCGAGCGUUGUCCGGAAUUAUUGGGCGUAAAGAGCUCGUAGGCGGUGUGUCGCGUCGGCCGUGAAAACCUGCAGCUUAACUGUGGGCUUGCGGUCGAUACGGGCAUCACUGGAGUUCGGCAGGGGAGACUGGAAUUCCUGGUGUAGCGGUGAAAUGCGCAGAUAUCAGGAGGAACACCGGUGGCGAAGGCGGGUCUCUGGGCCGAUACUGACGCUGAGGAGCGAAAGCGUGGGGAGCGAACAGGG
rnacentral:rRNA from 1 species